AUCAGUGCUGUGCUUAAAUGGCUUCACUGCAGCUGGGUACCAAGCAAUCUGGGCUGCGUGGUAUGGUGCAGUCUAUGCAGAUGGGAUCCUCUGUGCUGAGCUGUUGGAACCAGCAGAUGGUGUCAGAGGAACACAUACAGGGAAGGUUUGCAUGGCUGGUUUUGAAGAGAAAAGAGAGAA